rnacentral:rRNA from 1 species
GAUAAACGCUGGCGGCGUGCAUGAGACAUGCAAGUCGAACGAACGAGCUUGCUCGUUAGUGGCGAACGGCUGAGUAACGCGUAGGUGACCUGCCCCGAAGUGGGGGAUAACUGCCCGAAAGGGUGGCUAAUACCGCAUGUGGCGACGCUUUCAUUGGCGUCAUCAAAGCCGCGAGGCGCUUCGGGAGGGGCCUGCGUCCGGUUAGCUAGUUGGUGGGGUAAGAGCGUACCAAGGCGAUGAUCGGUAGCUGGUCUGAGAGGAUGAUGAGCCAGACGGGGACUGAGGGACGGCCCAGACUCCUACGGGAGGCAGCAGUUAGGAAUUUUGCGCAAUGCGGGAAACCCUGACGCAGCAACGCCGCGUGGGUGACGAAGGCCUUCGGGUCGUAAAGCCCUUUUCUGGGGGAAGAUGAUGACGGUACCCCAGGAAUAAGCCUCGGCUAACUACGUGCCAGCAGCCGCCGUAACAC